CCCCUCUCUCUCUCUCACUCUCUUAGUAGCAUAAGACUCACGUACGUGUAUUUCCUAUGCGCACUAACCUUUUCGUAUAUACACUGUACACCUAGUUAUCUUACAGUCCAACGAUAACCUAAAAAUUUCUGGCUUGUAUCAUGACACAAUGUGAAGAUCAUUAUUUUGUUAGAUAAAAAAAAUUAGCAAUUAAAUAUAUAGUGAACAAAUUGUCAUUUUUAUUUAUUUUAAUCAAAUAAUGUUCUUAUAUACUUUUAUAUUCAUGUAUAAAAAUGUUGAUCUGAAUUGGGUUUGUUAAAAAGUAUAACUAGACGACAUAUAGGCACCAGGAUGCUUCCCAGGUCAUCAAAACAUCGUAAAGAAAGGAGUGCACCAGGCAUAUAUUGCACAUAUCAUCAAGGAUACAUUUUAAGUAGUUCAAAAAUAACAAAUCGGAUGUAAUUAUUAUGCACACAUGCGUAUUGCUUAAUAAAUAAUUAAAGUAUGAAUAAUA